GUUCACUGCCGCCGCCGAAUAAGUCUGAGCGAUGCCUACGCUGAGAACAUGCUAAUUUCAGGUGUACAAGACAAUGCUAAUUACGUCUUAAACAUUCACUUUUGAAACUGAAGAGGAUCCUGACUGAGUGAUGCUAAGUUUUACAAUCCUGGAGCACUUUUGAUAUAAACUUCUCAAGCUUCCACUGUUCCUGAAGAAACGAAAGCACUCCUUGAUAUGGGGUGGGAAGAGGCUGAAGUGUCUUGUGGAUCACAGAAAUGUUGCUUUGGUUCGGAGAACAGCUUUCCUCAGUGCUUUUGUGCUCCAGCAAGCAGCCCCGGAUCACAGGGGAAAGAAAGACCAUAAAAUGCUCUCUGAAUCCGUAAGGACGACCCCAUUGGCACAGAUGGGAAUUCUGCUGUGAAGUGAGAGCAUUGGUUUCCUGAAAGAUGACCUAAUGGCUGCAAAGAGUUUCUUUAGAAACGCCAUAUUUUGUCAUUGACCCAUCUCUACCAUAUCACACACUCCUGAAGCAUUCCAUAGCAUUGUUCCCAGGAAGUCAAAGAUGGCUCAGAAGAAAAACUGUCAUCUUCAACAAAGAAAUGCAGUAGCUGUUUGUCGUGGGGGAAGGUUUAAUUCAAUUUGCAGCAUCUCUGGGUUUCUAUUUUGACUCGAGUUGUUUUCAGCACAUUCUCUCCAAGUUACCAAAAGUUAGAGUGUAUAUUUUAAGAAAUGCCACCAUUUUUGCUAUUUACUGGGGAUGACGUGUUCGAGGAUUACUUUCCAUGAAAAUGUAGACUAUAGGAUUGAGAAACACACAGUGUACAAGAAUUCAUCAUGUUUUAAGAUACCACUAAAAUGUAGGAAAGCUUUUCCCAGACAAUAAUGAGAUCUUCUGUUGUAAAGCAUAUACAUGAUAUUGUCCAUGUCCUUUCGUUGGCAUUAGUUUUUAACUCCAGUUCACUAAUGCCAAUCUCUUUCAGGAAGUGGUAUUGUUCCUCCUCUCUGGCCCCUCAGCAGUUGGUUUCUGGAUUAAAUAGAAUGCUCACCCCUUUCACAUCAUACUAGCUCUCCCUCGGUAAGAGUAUGAUCAGCUUGCGGGCAGGGGUCAAUCCUCAUGUAGCACUAAUACAAUGUUUGACAUAUUUGCCGAACCAAU